rnacentral:rRNA from 1 species
GCCAGACUCCUACGGGAGGCAGCAGUGGGGGAUAUUGCACAAUGGGGGGAACCCUGAUGCAGCGACGCCGCGUGGGUGAAGGAGUAUUUCGGUAUGUAAAGCCCUAUCAGCAGGGAAGAACAAUGACGGUACCUGACUAAGAAGCACCGGCUAAAUACGUGCCAGCAGCCGCGGUAAUACGUAUGGUGCAAGCGUUAUCCGGAUUUACUGGGUGUAAAGGGAGCGCAGGCGGCGCGUUAAGCCUGGUGUGAAAGCCCGGGGCCCAACCCCGGGACUGCUCUUGGAACUGCGCGGCUGGAGUGCAGGAGGGGCAGGCGGAAUUCCUGGUGUAGCGGUGAAAUGCGUAGAUAUCAGGAGGAACACCGGUGGCGAAGGCGGCCUGCUGGACUGCGACUGACGUUGAGGCCCGAAAGCGUGGGGAGCAAACAGGAUUAGAUACCCUCGUA